GACGAACGCUGGCGGCGUGCUUAACACAUGCAAGUCGAACGGAAAGGCCCUGCUUUUGUGGGGUGCUCAAGUGGCGAACGGGUGAGUAACACGUGAGUAACCUGCCCUUGACUUUGGGAUAACUUCAGGAAACUGGGGCUAAUACCGGAUAGGAGCUCCUGCUGCAUGGUGGGGGUUGGAAAGUUUCGGCGGUUGGGGAUGGACUCGCGGCUUAUCAGCUUGUUGGUGGGGUAGUGGCUUACCAAGGCUUUGACGGGUAGCCGGCCUGAGAGGGUGACCGGCGACAUGGGGACUGAGAUAGGGCCCAGACUCGUACGGGAGGCAGCAGGGGGAAAUAUUGCAGAAUGGGCGGAAGCGUGAUGCAGCAACGCCGCGUGCGGGAUGACGGCCUUCGGGUGGUAAACCGCUUUCGCCGGUGACGAAGCGUGAGUGACGGUAAUGGGUAAAGAAGCACCGGCUAACUACGUG
rnacentral:rRNA from 1 species